rnacentral:rRNA from 1 species
GACGAACGCUGGCGGCGUGCUUAACACAUGCAAGUCGAACGGAAACACCCUGCUAUUGUGGUGUGCCCGAGUGGCGAUCGGGUGCGUAACACGUGUGUAACCUGCCCUUGACUUUGGUGUAACUUCAGGAAACUGGGGUUAAUCCCGUAUAGCAGCUCCUGCUGCAUGGUGGGCGUUGGAAAGUUUCGGCGGUUGGGGAUGGACUCGCGGCUUAUGAGCUUGUUGGUGGGGUAGGGGCUUACCAAGGCUUUGACGGGUAGCCGGCAGGGGAGGGUGACCGGCGACAUGGGGACUGAGAGAGGCACCAGACGCCAACGGGAGGCAGCAGUGGGGAAUAUUGCACAGUGGGCGCAAGCCUGAGACAGCAACGCUGGGGGCGGAAUGACGGCCUUCGGGGUGUAAACCGCUUUCGCCUAUGACGAAGCGUGAGUGACGGUAAUGAGUAAAGAAGCACCGGCUAACUACGUG